UUAGACCCGUCAAAUGCUCGUGCUUCGGAGUCUACGCAGGGUUAGCUGUUUGCCAAGAUUUCACGUGGAUAAGCAAGCAGUUUAUGAUUUGAAAGCUGGUCCACUCCGAUUCUUGAUUCUUGGAGGUUUUUAUGUCAAUAAAACCAGUCUGUUGUUUUAAACUCUUAGACCGCAGUAGAACUAGUAUAGUGUUUGAUUAUUAUACUUUGGUUUGUCGUAGUGGUACGACUUUUAUAUUAUUAUACUUUGGCAUGUUACAUUGGAUUAUUAUAUUUGAGGCAUGAUUCACAGUUUCGGAUUA